rnacentral:rRNA from 1 species
GACGAACGCUGGCGGCGUGCUUAACACAUGCAAGUCGAACGGAAAGGCCCUGCUUUUGUGGGGUGCUCGAGUGGCGAACGGGUGAGUAACACGUGAGUAACCUGCCCUUGACUUUGGGAUAACUUCAGGAAACUGGGGCUAAUACCGGAUAGGAUCUCCUGCUGCAUGGUGGGGGUUGGAAAGUUUCGGCGGUUGGGGAUGGACUCGCGGCUUAUCAGCUUGUUGGUGGGGUAGUGGCUUACCAAGGCUUUGACGGGUAGCCGGCAUGAGAGGGUGAACGGCGACAAUAGGACUGAGAUAGGGACCAGAAGGCAACGGGAGGCAGCAGUGGGGAAUAUUGCACAAUGGGAGGAAGCGUGAUGCAACAACGCCGCGUGCGGGAUGACGGCCUUCGGGUUGUAAACAGCUUUAGCCUGUGACGAAGCGUGAGUGACGGUAAUGGGUAAAGAAGCACCGGCUAACUACGUG